rnacentral:rRNA from 1 species
GUCGAGAAUCUUUCACAAUGGGGGCAACCCUGAUGGAGCGACACCGCGUGGAGGAUAAGGUCUUCGGAUUGUAAACUCCUGUCAUGCGUGAACAAGGUUGCUUGGUUAAUACCUGGGCAAAUUGAUGGUAACGCAAGAGGAAGAGACGGCUAACUCUGUGCCAGCAGCCGCGGUAAUACAGAGGUCUCAAGCGUUGUUCGGAAUCACUGGGCGUAAAGGGUGCGUAGGUGGCGUGGUAAGUCAGAUGUGAAAGACCGGGGCUCAACCUCGGAACUGCAUACGAUACUGCCAUGCUAGAGUACUGGAGAGGUGACUAGAAUUCUCGGUGUAGCAGUGAAAUGCGUAGAUAUCGAGAGGAAUACCAAAGGCGUAGGCAGGUCACUGGACAGUUACUGACACUGAGGCACGAAGGCCAGGGGAGCGAACGGGAUUAGAAACCCUGGUAGUCC